rnacentral:tRNA from 1 species
UCCCGUUUAGCUCAGCUGGUAGAGCGCGUCACUAGUAUUAAUUCAUGAUAUGACGAGGUCAGUCGUUCGAGUCGGCUAAUGGGAA